rnacentral:rRNA from 1 species
GGGACACGUGGUAUCCUGUCUGAAUAUGGGGGGACCAUCCUCCAAGGCUAAAUACUCCUGACUGACCGAUAGUGAACCAGUACCGUGAGGGAAAGGCGAAAAGAACCCCGGCGAGGGGAGUGAAAAAGAACCUGAAACCGUGUACGUACAAGCAGUGGGAGCACGCUUAGGCGUGUGACUGCGUACCUUUUGUAUAAUGGGUCAGCGACUUAUAUUCUGUAGCAAGGUUAACCGAAUAGGGGAGCCGAAGGGAAACCGAGUCUUAACUGGGCGUUAAGUUGCAGGGUAUAGACCCGAAACCCGGUGAUCUAGCCAUGGGCAGGUUGAAGGUUGGGUAACACUAACUGGAGGACCGAACCGACUAAUGUUGAAAAAUUAGCGGAUGACUUGUGGCUGGGGGUGAAAGGCCAAUCAAACCGGGAGAUAGCUGGUUCUCCCCGAAAGCUAUUUAGGUAGCGCCUCGUGAAUUCAUCUCCGGGGGUAGAGCACUGUUUCGGCAAGGGGGUCAUCCCGACUUACCAACCCGAUGCAAACUGCGAAUACCGGAGAAUGUUAUCACGGGAGACACACGGCGGGUGCUAACGUCCGUCGUGAAGAGGGAAACAACCCAGACCGCCAGCUAAGGUCCCAAAGUCAUGGUUAAGUGGGAAACGAUGUGGGAAGGCCCAGACAGCCAGGAUGUUGGCUUAGAAGCAGCCAUCAUUUAAAGAAAGCGUAAUAGCUCACUGGUCGAGUCGGCCUGCGCGGAAGAUGUAACGGGGCUAAACCAUGCACCGAAGCUGCGGCAGCGACGCUUAUGCGUUGUUGGGUAGGGGAGCGUUCUGUAAGCCUGCGAAGGUGUGCUGUGAGGCAUGCUGGAGGUAUCAGAAGUGCGAAUGCUGACAUAAGUAACGAUAAAGCGGGUGAAAAGCCCGCUCGCCGGAAGACCAAGGGUUCCUGUCCAACGUUAAUCGGGGCAGGGUGAGUCGACCCCUAAGGCGAGGCCGAAAGGCGUAGUCGAUGGGAAACAGGUUAAUAUUCCUGUACUUGGUGUUACUGCGAAGGGGGGACGGAGAAGGCUAUGUUGGCCGGGCGACGGUUGUCCCGGUUUAAGCGUGUAGGCUGGUUUUCCAGGCAAAUCCGGAAAAUCAAGGCUGAGGCGUGAUGACGAGGCACUACGGUGCUGAAGCAACAAAUGCCCUGCUUCCAGGAAAAGCCUCUAAGCAUCAGGUAACAUCAAAUCGUACCCCAAACCGACACAGGUGGUCAGGUAGAGAAUACCAAGGCGCUUGAGAGAACUCGGGUGAAGGAACUAGGCAAAAUGGUGCCGUAACUUCGGGAGAAGGCACGCUGAUAUGUAGGUGAAGUCCCUCGCGGAUGGAGCUGAAAUCAGUCGAAGAUACCAGCUGGCUGCAACUGUUUAUUAAAAACACAGCACUGUGCAAACACGAAAGUGGACGUAUACGGUGUGACGCCUGCCCGGUGCCGGAAGGUUAAUUGAUGGGGUCAGCGCAAGCGAAGCUCUUGAUCGAAGCCCCGGUAAACGGCGGCCGUAACUAUAACGGUCCUAAGGUAGCGAAAUUCCUUGUCGGGUAAGUUCCGACCUGCACGAAUGGCGUAAUGAUGGCCAGGCUGUCUCCACCCGAGACUCAGUGAAAUUGAACUCGCUGUGAAGAUGCAGUGUACCCGCGGCAAGACGGAAAGACCCCGUGAACCUUUACUAUAGCUUGACACUGAACAUUGAGCCUUGAUGUGUAGGAUAGGUGGGAGGCUUUGAAGUGUGGACGCCAGUCUGCAUGGAGCCGACCUUGAAAUACCACCCUUUAAUGUUUGAUGUUCUAACGUUGACCCGUAAUCCGGGUUGCGGACAGUGUCUGGUGGGUAGUUUGACUGGGGCGGUCUCCUCCUAAAGAGUAACGGAGGAGCACGAAGGUUGGCUAAUCCUGGUCGGACAUCAGGAGGUUAGUGCAAUGGCAUAAGCCAGCUUGACUGCGAGCGUGACGGCGCGAGCAGGUGCGAAAGCAGGUCAUAGUGAUCCGGUGGUUCUGAAUGGAAGGGCCAUCGCUCAACGGAUAAAAGGUACUCCGGGGAUAACAGGCUGAUACCGCCCAAGAGUUCAUAUCGACGGCGGUGUUUGGCACCUCGAUGUCGGCUCAUCACAUCCUGGGGCUGAAGUAGGUCCCAAGGGUAUGGCUGUUCGCCAUUUAAAGUGGUACGCGAGCUGGGUUUAGAACGUCGUGAGACAGUUCGGUCCCUAUCUGCC